rnacentral:rRNA from 1 species
UACCAGCACCCCGAGUGGUCGGGACGUUUUAUUGGGCCUAAAGCAUCCGUAGCCGGUUCUACAAGUCUUCCGUUAAAUCCAGCUGCUUAACAGAUGGGCUGCGGAAGAUACUAUGGAGCUAGGAGGCGGGAGAGGCAAGCGGUACUCGAUGGGUAGGGGUAAAAUCCGUUGAUCCAUUGAAGACCACCAGUGGCGAAGGCGGCUUGCCAGAACGCGCUCGACGGUGAGGGAUGAAGC